rnacentral:rRNA from 1 species
AUUGAACGCUGGCGGCAGGCCUAACACAUGCAAGUCGAACGAGUGGCGGACGGGUGAGUAAUGUCUGGGAAACUGCCCGAUGGAGGGGGAUAACUACUGGCAACGGUAGCUAAUACCGCAUACCAUCAGAUGUGCCCAGAUGGGAUUAGCUUGUAGGUGAGGUAAUGGCUCACCUAGGCUACGAUCCGUAGCUGGUCUGAGAGGAUGACCAGCAACACUGGAACUGAGACACGGUCCAGACUCCUACGGGAGGCAGCAGUGGGGAAUAUGGCACAAUGGGCGCAAGCCUGAUGCAGCCAUGCCGCGGUUGUGAGGAAGGCCUUCGGUUUGUAAAGUACUUUCAGCGGGGAGGCGUUACCCGCAGAAGAAGCACCGGCUAACUCCGUGCCAGCAGCCGCGGUAAUAC